AGGACGAACGCUGGCGGCGUGCUUAACACAUGCAAGUCGAACGGAAAGGCCCUGCUUUUGUGGGGUGCUCGAGUGGCGAACGGGUGAGUAACACGUGAGUAACCUGCCCUUGACUUUGGGAUAACUUCAGGAAACUGGGGCUAAUACCGGAUAGGAGCUCCUGCUGCAUGGUGGGGGUUGGAAAGUUUCGGCGGUUGGGGAUGGACUCGCGGCUUAUCAGCUUGUUGGUGGGUAGUGGCUUACCAAGGCUUUGACGGGUA
rnacentral:rRNA from 1 species